rnacentral:rRNA from 1 species
GACACAUGCAAGUCGAACGAGAAGCUUCUUCGGAAGUGGAGAGUGGCGCACGGGUGAGUAUCGCGUGGAUAACGUACCUUUCGGCGGGGGACAACUCGGGGGAAACCUGAGCUAAUACCGCAUACGUUUGUUGGGUCUUUGGGCCUGACAAAGAAAGCAGGGCAACUUGCACCGGAAGAUCGGUCCGCGUUCCAUCAGCUUGUUGGUGAGGUAACGGCUCACCAAGGCAACGACGGAUAGCUGGUCUGAGAGGAUGAUCAGCCACACUGGGACUGAGACACGGCCCAGACUCCUACGGGAGGCAGCAGUGGGGAAUAUUGGACAAUGGGCGCAAGCCUGAUCCAGCAAUGCCGUGUGUGUGAUGAAGGCCUUCGGGUUGUAAAGCACUGUCAGUGGGGACGAAUUGCUUCGGGUAACGCCGAAGAGUGACGGUACCCACAGAGGAAGGACCGGCUAACUCCGUG